rnacentral:rRNA from 1 species
UACGGGGGGGGCAAGCGUUGUUCGGAAUUACUGGGCGUAAAGGGCUCGUAGGUGGCCAACUAAGUCAGACGUGAAAUCCCCUCGGCUUAACCGGGGAACUGCGUCUGAUACUGGAUGGCUUGAGUUUGGGAGAGGGACGCGGAAUUCCAGGUGUAGCGGUGAAAUGCGUAGAUAUCUGGAGGAACACCGGUGGCGAAGGCGGCGUCCUGGACCAACACUGACACUGAUGAGCGAAAGCCAGGGGAGCAAACGGG